CCCUUUUGGUGAGUCUUUUCUUUGGUCCUUAUACUUCAUAGGGCAGUCCGUUUUAAAGUGUCCGGAUUUACCACAAUUAAAGCAUGAUCCUCUUCCUCUACUCUUCUUGUUUUCUUCUUGUUUCGAAUUUAUGGAUUGUCUUCGAAACUUCAUGAGAUUUUUGUCGGAAUGCUUGACUCCAUUCUUUCGAAUGAAUCUAUUGUAUCUCCUUACAAACAGUCCCAUUUCCUCAUCAUCCGAGUCUUUGUCACUACUUGAAUCAUUGUCGCUUUGCUCUUUUCGUGAGGACUUAGAGCUAGAAGCCACAAGAGCUAUUGGCUUCUUCUCUCCCUCUUUGUCUCUUUU
rnacentral:lncRNA from 1 species